rnacentral:rRNA from 1 species
AGAGCGAACGCUGGCGGCAGGCCUAACACAUGCAAGUCGAACGGACCCUUCGGGGUUAGUGGCGGACGGGUGAGUAACACGUGGGAACGUGCCUUUUGGUUCGGAAUAGCUCCUGGAAACGGGUGGUAAUGCCGAAUGUGCCCUUCGGGGGAAAGAUUUAUCGCCCAGGGAUGAGCCCGCGUAGGAUUAGCUAGUUGGUGAGGUAAAGGCUCACCAAGGCGACGAUCCUUAGCUGGUCUGAGAGGAUGAUCAGCCACACUGGACUGAGACACGGCCCAGACUCCUACGGGAGGCAGCAGUAGGGAAUAUUGGACAAGUGGGCGACAAGCCUGAAUCCCAAGCAAUCGCCGCGUGAGGUGA